UUGAACGCUGGCGGCAGGCCUAACACCUGCAAGUCGAGCGGAUGAAGGGAGCUUGCUCCUGGAUUCAGCGGCGGACGGGUGAGUAAUGCCUAGGAAUCUGCCUGGUAGUGGGGGAUAACGUCCGGAAACGGGCGCUAAUACCGCAUACGUCCUGAGGGAGAAAGUGGGGGAUCUUCGGACCUCACGCUAUCAGAUGAGCCUAGGUCGGAUUAGCUAGUUGGUGGGGUAAAGGCCUACCAAGGCGACGAUCCGUAACUGGUCUGAGAGGAUGAUCAGUCACACUGGAACUGAGACUCGGUCCAGACUCCUACGGGAGGCAGCAGUGGGGAAUAUUGGACGAUGGGCGAAAGCCUGAUCCAGCCAUGCCGCGUGUGUGAAGAAGGUCUUCGGAUUGUAAAGCACUUUAAGUUGGGAGGAAGUGCAGUAAGUUAAUACCUUGCUGUUUUGACGUUACCAACAGAAUAAGCACCGGCUAACUUCGUG
rnacentral:rRNA from 1 species